AACAAACGCUGGCGGCGCGUUUUAAGCAUGCAAGUCGGACGGCAAGAGCUGUAGCAAUAUGGCUCCUAGAGUGGCGAACGGGUGAGUAACACGUAGGUGAUCUGCCCUUGGAUGGGGGAUAGUCCGUGGAAACACGGGGUAAUACCGCAUGAGGCCUUGUGGGUAGAGCCAUGAGGUGAAAGGUGCAAUUGCACCGUCUGGGGAUGAGCCUGCGGUCCAUUAGGUAGUUGGCGGGGUAAGGGCCCACCAAGCCUUCGAUGGAUAGCCGGCCUGAGAGGGUGUACGGCCACACUGGAACUGAGACACGGUCCAGACUCCUACGGGAGGCAGCAGCUAAGAAUCUUCCGCAAUGGGGGAAACCCUGACGGAGCGACGCCGCGUGGACGAUGGAGGCCGUAAGGUUGUAAGUCCUUUUCCUGGUGAAGAAUGACUGUGGGAGUGGAAAGCCCAUGGGAUGACGUUAGCCAGGGAAUAAGCCCCGGCCAAUUACGUGCCAGCCGCCGCAGUAAUAC
rnacentral:rRNA from 1 species